GAUGAACGCUGGCGGCGUGCCUAAUACAUGCAAGUCGAGCGAACAGACGAGGAGCUUGCUCCUCUGACGUUAGCGGCGGACGGGUGAGUAACACGUGGAUAACCUACCUAUAAGACUGGGAUAACUUCGGGAAACCGGAGCUAAUACCGGAUAAUAUAUUCAACCGCAUGGUUCAAUAGUGAAAGACGGUUUUGCUGUCACUUAUAGACGGAUCCGCGCCGCAUUAGCUAGUUGGUAAGGUAACGGCUUACCAAGGCGACGAUGCGUAGCCGACCUGAGAGGGUGAUCGGCCACACUGGAACUGAGACACGGUCCAGACUCCUACGGGAGGCAGCAGUAGGGAAUCUUCCGCAAAGGGCGAAAGCCUGACGGAGCAACGCCGCGUGAGUGAUGAAGGUCUUCGGAUCGUAAAACUCUGUUAUUAGGGAAGAACAGAUGUGUAAGUAACUAUGCACGUCUUGACGGUACCUAAUCAGAAAGCCACGGCUAACUACGUG
rnacentral:rRNA from 1 species